CUCCCCGGCACUCGUCGCUUGCGGGGCUGCCGCCGGGGGUGGUGCCAGCAGCGCCGGCCCGACCCCCCGCCUCGGGAUGUGCUGAGCAGGGGCAGCUCCCCUCGGGCCUCUCCGCGCCUCGCCCACCGCCUGCCCGUUCUCCCCGCCGCCCCUCGCCUGCUCGGAACGGGUCGCGUCGGGUCGGUCGCCGGUGGCGGAGGAUCCCGGCGCUAAAUUUCCUGUUGAACGUCCUCGUGUGGGCACGGGGGAGGGAGGAGAAGCCGGGCGCCGUGGCCGCCUUGUGCCGACGGCGUGUCCGCGGGAGCCCGUGGGUGCUCACACGGUCGCGCCGCCCUGCCCUGCUCGAACUGUGUGAAGAAAGUCUUCAGCCAUGGAUGUGUUCAUGAAGGGACUUUCCAAGGCAAAGGAGGGAGUCGUAGCAGCAGCAGAAAAAACCAAGCAGGGUGUGGCAGAGGCGGCAGGAAAGACGAAAGAGGGAGUCCUCUAUGUGGGUAGGUGGGCAAAGGAGACCACAGUGCUGGUUGGUGUACACAGAC